rnacentral:rRNA from 1 species
ACGAACGCUGGCGGCGUGCCUAAUACAUGCAAGUAGAACGCUGAAGAGAGGAGCUUGCUCUUCUUGGAUGAGUUGCGAACGGGUGAGUAACGCGUAGGUAACCUGCCUUGUAGCGGGGGAUAACUAUUGGAAACGAUAGCUAAAACCGCAUAACAAUGGAUGACACAUGUCAUUUAUUUGAAAGGGGCAAUUGCUCCACUACAAGAUGGACCUGCGUUGUAUUAGCUAGUAGGUGAGGUAAUGGCUCACCUAGGCGACGAUACAUAGCCGACCUGAGAGGGUGAUCGGCCACACUGGGACUGAGACACGGCCCAGACUCCUACGGGAGGCAGCAGUAGGGAAUCUUCGGCAAUGGGGGCAACCCUGACCGAGCAACGCCGCGUGAGUGAAGAAGGUUUUCGGAUCGUAAAGCUCUGUUGUAAGUCAAGAACGGGUGUGAGAGUGGAAAGUUCACACUGUGACGGUAGCUUACCAGAAAGGGACGGCUAACUACGUG